rnacentral:rRNA from 1 species
GACAGAGGUGCCAAGCGUUAGGCGGAAUCACUGGGCUUAAAGCGUGUGUAGGCGGCCCGUUAAGUACCUUGUGAAAUCCCACGGCUCAACCGUGGAACUGCUGGGUAUACUGGCGGGCUUGGCCACUCAGGGGCAGACGGAACAGGCGGUGGAGCGGUGAAAUGCGUAGAUAUCGCCUGGAACGCCGAAGGUGAAAACAGUCUGCUGGGG